ACANGUGCUGCAUGGCUGUCGUCAGCUCGUGUUGUGAAAUGUUGGGUUAAGUCCCGCAACGAGCGCAACCCUUAUCCUUUGUUGCCAGCGGYUCGGCCGGGAACUCAAAGGAGACUGCCGGUGAUAAACCGGAGGAAGGUGGGGAUGACGUCAAGUCAUCAUGGCCCUUACGGCCAGGGCUACACACGUGCUACAAUGGCGCAUACAAAGAGAAGCGACCUCGCGAGAGCAAGCGGACCUCAUAAAGUGCGUCGUAGUCCGGAUUGGAGUCUGCAACUCGACUCCAUGAAGUCGGAAUCGCUAGUAAUCGUAGAUCAGAAUGCUACGGUGAAUACGUUCCCGGGUCUUGU
rnacentral:rRNA from 1 species